rnacentral:rRNA from 1 species
CCUACGGGUGGCAGCAGUGGGGAAUAUUGGACAAUGGGGGGGACCCUGAUCCAGCCAUGCCGCGUGUGUGAAGAAGGCCCUCGGGUUGUAAAGCACUUUCAGUGAGGAAGAACGCCUGGUGGUUAAUACCCAUCAGGAAAGACAUCACUCACAGAAGAAGCACCGGCUAACUCCGUGCCAGCAGCCGCGGUAAUACGGAGGGUGCGAGCGUUAAUCGGAAUUACUGGGCGUAAAGCGCGCGUAGGUGGCUUGAUAAGCCGGUUGUGAAAGCCCCGGGCUCAACCUGGGAACGGCAUCCGGAACUGUCAAGCUAGAGUGCAGGAGAGGAAGGUAGAAUUCCCGGUGUAGCGGUGAAAUGCGUAGAGAUCGGGAGGAAUACCAGUGGCGAAGGCGGCCUUCUGGACUGACACUGACACUGAGGUGCGAAAGCGUGGGUAGCAAACAGGAUUAGAUACCCUAGUAGUC